rnacentral:rRNA from 1 species
UUCGUAUUGUUGUGAGAGAGGUGAAAUUCUUAGACCACAGCAAGACGAACUACUGCGAAAGCAUUUGCCAAGAAUGUUUUCAUUGAUCAAGAACGAAAGUUAGAGGUUCGAAGGCGAUCAGAUACCGCCCUAGUUCUAACCAUAAACUAUGCCAACUAGCAAUCUGCUUAUAUAUGUUCUAUGAUUAAGUAGGCGGCCACGGGAAACCAAAGUAGGGUUAUGGGGGAAGUAUGGUUGCAAAGCUGAAACUUAAAGGAAUUGACGGAAGGGCACCACCAGGAGUGGAGCCUGCGGCUUAAUUUGACUCAACACGGGAAAACUUACCUGGUCCUGACACUAGAAGGAUUGACAGAUUGAUAGCUCUUUCUUGAUUUGGUGGAUGGUGGUGCAUGGCCGUUCUUAGUUGGUGGAGUGAUUUGUCUGGGUUAAUUCCGAUAACGAACGAGACUCUAGCCUAUUAAAUAACACACAGAAUCUUGUCUUCUGUGGCGUUUCUUAAUGGGAUCAAGUGUGUUUAACGCUU